rnacentral:rRNA from 1 species
UACGUAGGGGGCAAGCGUUGUCCGGAUUUAUUGGGCGUAAAGAGCGUGUAGGCGGCCAGACAGGUCCGUUGUGAAAACUCGAGGCUCAACCUCGAGAUGUCGAUGGAAACCGUCUGGCUAGAGUCCGGAAGAGGAGUGUGGAAUUCCUGGUGUAGCGGUGAAAUGCGCAGAUAUCAGGAGGAACACCAACGGCGAAGGCAGCUCGCUGGCACGGUACUGACACUAAGGCGCGAAAGCGUGGGGAGCGAACAGG